GACGAACGCUGGCGGCGUGCUUAACACAUGCAAGUCGAAUGGAAAAGCUAUGCUUUUGUGGGGUGCUCGAUUGGCGCACGGGUGAGUAACACGUGAGUAACCUGCCUAUGACUUUGGGUUAAUUUCAGGUAACUUGGACUAAUACAGGCUACGAGCUUCUGCUGCCUGGUGGGGGUCGGCAAGUUUCGGCGGUUGGGGAUGGACUCGCGGCUUAUCAGCUUGUUGGUGGGGUAGUGGCUUACCAAGGCUUUGACGGGUAGCCGGCCUGAGAGGGUGACCGGCCACAUUGGGACUGAGAUACGGCCCAGACUCCUACGGGAGGCAGCAGUGGGGAAUAUUGCACAAUGGGCGGAAGCCUGAUGCAGCAACGCCGCGUGCGGGAUGACGGCCUUCGGGUUGUAAACCGCUUUCGCCUGUGACGAAGCGUGAGUGACGGUAAUGGGUAAAGAAGCACCGGCUAACUACGUG
rnacentral:rRNA from 1 species